AGAGUUUGAUCCUGGCUCAGAUUGAACGCUGGCGGAAUGCUUUACACAUGCAAGUCGAACGGCAGCACGGGAGCUUGCUCCUGGUGGCGAGUGGCGAACGGGUGAGUAAUAUAUCGGAACGUAUCCAAUAAUGGGGGAUAACUAAUCGAAAGGUUGGCUAAUACCGCAUACGCCCUGAGGGGGAAAGCUGGGGAUCUUCGGACCUAGCGUUAAUGGAGCGGCCGAUAUCUGAUUAGCUAGUUGGUGGGGUAAAGGCCCACCAAGGCGACGAUCAGUAGCUGGUCUGAGAGGACGACCAGCCACACUGGAACUGAGACACGGUCCAGACUCCUACGGGAGGCAGCAGUGGGGAAUUUUGGACAAUGGGCGCAAGCCUGAUCCAGCCAUUCCGCGUGAGUGAAGAAGGCCUUCGGGUUGUAAAGCUCUUUCGCAAGGGAAGAAACGAUUUAGGUGAAUAAUCUAAGUUAAUGACGGUACCUUGAUAAGAAGCACCGGCUAACUACGUGCCAGCAGCCGCGGUAAUACGUAGGGUGCGAGCGUUAAUCGGAAUUACUGGGCGUAAAGCGUGCGCAGGCUGUUUUGUAAGUCAGAUGUGAAAUCCCCGAGCUCAACUUGGGAACU
rnacentral:rRNA from 1 species